AGGGAGUCCACGGGCUGGGGGUCGGGAUUGGGUAGGGACUCCACUGUCCAGGCCGCUGUGGGGAGCGGGGCCCACCGCGGUGUCUGAGCGGGCGGGGAGACUCAGGGCCGGGGAGCGAGGACAGCAGAUUGACAUCCAUCCAUUCAUCGGUGAGUAUUUUAUCCGCCGCUCCCCAGUGGACGGCUCUAAUCUUGGGGAGAGACUUGGGUUAAA